rnacentral:rRNA from 1 species
UCGGGAGGGUCCGUCUAUAACUCUUGCGG